GAUGAAGAACGUAGCGAAAUGCGAUAAGUAAUGUGAAUUGCAGAAUUCAGUGAAUCAUCGAAUCUUUGAACGCACAUUGCGCCCCCUGGUAUUCCGGGGGGCAUGCCUGUUCGGGCGUCAUUACAACCCUCAAGCUCUGCUUGGUAUUGGGCCCCGCCAGUUCUGGCGGGCCCUAAAGUCAGUGGCGGUGCCUUCCGGCUCCGAGCGUAGUAAUUCUUCUCGCUCUGGAGACCCGGUUGUGUGCUUGCCAACAACCCCCAAUUUUUUAAGGUUGACCUCGGAUCAGGUAGGGAUACCCGCUGAACUUAAGCAUAUCAAUAAGCGGAGGA
rnacentral:misc_RNA from 1 species